rnacentral:rRNA from 1 species
GGACAAGCCCUGGAAACGGGGUCUAAUACCGGAUAACACCGGCUUCCGCAUGGGAGCUGGUUGAAAGCUCCGGCGGUGAAGGAUGAGCCCGCGGCCUAUCAGCUUGUUGGUGGGGUAAUGGCCCACCAAGGCGACAACGGGUAGCCGGCCUGAGAGGGCGACCGGCCACACUGGGACUGAGACACGGCCCAGACUCCUACGGGAGGCAGCAGUGGGGAAUAUUGCACAAUGGGCGAAAGCCUGAUGCAGCGACGCCGCGUGAGGGAUGACGGCCUUCGGGUUGUAAACCUCUUUCAUCANNGAAGAANCGAAAGUGACGGUACCUGCAGAAGAAGCGCCGGCUAACUACGUGCCAGCAGCCGCGGUAAUACGUAGGGCGCAAGCGUUGUCCGGAAUUAUUGGGCGUAAAUAGCUCGUANGCGGCUUGUCACGUCAGGUGUGAAAGCCCGGGGCUUAACCCCGGGUCUGCAUCCGAUACGGGCACGCUAGAGUGUGGUAGGGGAGAUCGGAAUUCCUGGUGUAGCGGUGAAAUGCACAGAAUCAGGAGGAACACCGGUGGCGAAGGCAGAUCUCUGUGCCAUUACUGACGCUGAUGAGCAAAAGCGUGGGGAGCGAACAAGAUUAGACACCCUGGUAGUCCACUCCGUAAACAUUGGGAACUAAGUGUUGGCGACAUUCCACGUCG